CUUCGCCAUUUCUGUGAUGCGUGGUCAAAUUUAGCUAGUGCAUAUAUGAGGAAAGGAAGGCUUAAUGAGGCAGCUCGGUGUUGUCACCAGGCUCUUGCAUUGAACCCUCGCUUGUUUGUCAGAAAAUGCAUAUGUUCUUGUGGUAGUGGUAUUGAAGAAAAUGCAUAUAUUCUGUAGGCAUUAAGCUCCCUUGUUGCUUCACUACUUGAGAAAGAAAAGGAUCUUCAACUUCUCUCUGACUGGUCCAAUUCCUCCUGCUUUGGGUAAUUUGACCAUGCUUAAAAUUUUGUAUUUUUUUUAUAAAUCAGAUUUCAGGUACAAUUCCUACAGAAUUAUGGAAUCUCAAGAAUUUGGUUGAGUUGAUGUUGCAACGAAACAAUCUGACUGGUCUGAUUCCUCAUGCUUCGAGUAAUUUGAGAAACCUUACAUUGUUGUUGGUCUGAUUCCUCCAGUUAUUCUGCUUUUGAAGAAGUUCUCCCACAUGCUCCAACAUUGAUGACUGAUGUGUUUGGCAAUUAUGUUAUUUAAAAGUUUUUUGAUCAUGGAAGCCCUGAGCAGAGAAAAGAACUAGCAAAUCAGCUUGCUGGCCACAUUCAACCUUGGAGCCUUCAGAUGUAUGGGUGCCGGGUAAUUCAAAAGGGCCCUACACAAUUUAAUCUGGCUAAUCCACGCUUACACAUGUUGCCCUUUUUAAUGGAAGGUAUGU